GGUCACAUUGGAUCUGAAGCUUUCUGAAUGGGGCAUGAAAGGAGGAGGCAGGAAAAGGAGUAGGCUGGGACCCGCCAAGAGAAAGAUUUGGAAAGCAAGAAAAUGGGAGGUGAACUACAAGACUCCCUCGCAGAAAUGACAUGAUGAGUAAAUAUCAUGGAAAGAGCAUGGGUAUUGAGCCCCGGUUCUGCUCAGGACUCUGGGACUGUGUUUCCUUGUCUGUAAAACAGUGACACUGGGAAGUCUGUGGGAUCUUAGCUCCCUGACCAGGGAUCGAACCUGCACCCCCUGCACUGGAAGGUGAAGUCUUAACCACUGGACCACCAGGGAAGUCCUGAAAUGUGUUAGCUUUUAAAAUUAAAAAAUAGAUAUGUAAUUGCUUUGGCCAUUUGCGCAUAUAAUGUCAGUCCUCUUGUA